UUUGAAAUCUGGCCUCUUUGGGGUCCGAGUUGUAAUUUGCAGAGGGUGCUUUUGGUGUUGGCCGUGGUCUAAGUUCCUUGGAACAGGACGUCACAGAGGGUGAGAAUCCCGUACGUGGCCGCCGGCCCUCGCCUUGUAAAGCCCCUUCGACGAGUCGAGUUGUUUGGGAAUGCAGCUCUAAAUGGGAGGUAAAUUUCUUCUAAAGCUAAAUACCCGCCAGAGACCGAUAGCGCACAAGUAGAGUGAUCGAAAGAUGAAAAGCACUUUGGAAAGAGAGUGAAAAAGCACGUGAAAUUGUUGAAAGGGAAGCGCUUGCGGCCAGACGUGCCUGCGGUUGAUCAACUGGGCUUCCGCCCGGUGCACUCCUCCGCGGGCAGGCCAGCAUCAGUUUGGGCGGUCGGACAAAGGUCUCUGUCACGUACCAUCCCUCGGGAUGGCCUUAUAGGGGAGACGCAACACGGCCAGCCUGGACUGAGGUUCCGCGCAUCUGCUAGGAUGCUGGCGUAAUGGCAGCAAGCGGCCCGUCUUGAAACACGGACCAAGGAGUCUAACAUCUAUGCGAGUGUUUGGGUGUCAAGCCCGAGCGCGUAAUGAAAGUGAACGGAGGUGGGAACCCCUCGGGGCGCACCAUCGACCGAUCCUGAUGUCUUCGGAUGGAUUUGAGUAAGAGCAUAGCUGUUGGGACCCGAAAGAUGGUGAACUAUGCCUGAAUAGGGUGAAGCCAGAGGAAACUCUGGUGGAGGCUCGCAGCGGUUCUGACGUGCAAAUCGAUCGUCAAAUUUGGGCAUAGGGGCGAAAGACUAAUCGAACCAUCUAGUAGCUGGUUCCUGCCGAAGUUCCCUC
rnacentral:rRNA from 1 species